GUAAGGAAUAUUGGACAAUGCCCGCAAGGGUGAUCCAGCCAUGCCGCGUGCAGGAAGAAGGACCUAUGGUUUGUAAACUGCUUUUGAACAAGAGAAAACCCCUCUACGUGUAGAGGGCUGAUAGUAUUGUUAGAAUAAGCAUCGGCUAACUUCGUGCCAGCAGCCGCGGUAAGACGAAGGAUGCAAGCGUUAUCCGGAUUCAUUGGGUUUAAAGGGAGCGUAGGUGGCUUUGUAAGUCAGUGGUGAAAGCCGGUCGCUUAACGAUCGAACUGCCAUUGAUACUGCAGAGCUUGAGUACAGUUGCCGUUGGCGGAAUAUGACAUGUAGUGGUGAAAUACAUAGAGAUGUCAUAGAACACCGAUUGCGAAGGCAGCUAACGAAACUGUAACUGACACUGAGGCUCGAAAGUGCGGGGAUCAAACAGGAUUAGAUACCCCAGUAGUCC
rnacentral:rRNA from 1 species